rnacentral:tRNA from 1 species
GGCGGAGUAGCUCAGUGGUAGAGCGGGGGACUCAUAAGCCCUAGGUCGCAGGUUCGAUCCCUGCCUCCGCUACCG